rnacentral:tRNA from 1 species
CACUAAGAAGCUAAACAGGACUAAGCGUCAGCCUUUUAAGCUGAAGAUUGGUGACUCCUAACCACCCUUAGUGA